GACGAACGCUGGCGGCGUGCCUAAUACAUGCAAGUUGAGCGCUGAAGGUUGGUACUUGUACCAACUGGAUGAGCAGCGCACGGGUGAGUAACGCGUGGGGAAUCUGCCUUUGAGCGGGGGACAACAUUUGGAAACGAAUGCUAAUACCGCAUAAAAACUUUAAACACAAGUUUUAAGUUUGAAAGAUGCAAUUGCAUCACUCAAAGAUGAUCCCGCGUUGUAUUAGCUAGUUGGUGAGGUAAAGGCUCACCAAGGCGAUGAUACAUAGCCGACCUGAGAGGGUGAUCGGCCACAUUGGGACGGAGACACGGCCCAAACUCCUACGGGAGGCAGCAGUAGGGAAUCUUCGGCAAUGGACGAAAGUCUGACCGAGCAACGCCGCGUGAGUGAAGAAGGUUUUCGGAUCGUAAAACUCUGUUGGUAGAGAAGAACGUUGGUGAGAGUGGAAAGCUCAUCAAGUGACGGUAACUACCCAGAAAGGGACGGCUAACUACGUG
rnacentral:rRNA from 1 species